rnacentral:rRNA from 1 species
GACGAACGCUGGCGGCGUGCUUAACACAUGCAAGUCGAGCGGAAAGGCCCUUCGGGGUACUCGAGCGGCGAACGGGUGAGUAACACGUGAGUAACCUGCCCCAGACUUUGGGAUAACCCUCGGAAACGGGGGCUAAUACCGGAUACGACACAGCUUCGCAUGGGGUCUGUGUGGAAAGUUUUUCGGUUUGGGAUGGGCUCGCGGCCUAUCAGCUUGUUGGUGGGGUGAUGGCCUACCAAGGCGACGACGGGUAGCCGGCCUGAGAGGGCGACCGGCUACACUGGGACUGAGACACGGCCCAGACUCCUACGGGAGGCAGCAGUGGGGAAUAUUGCACAAUGGGCGGAAGCCUGAUGCAGCGACGCCGCGUGAGGGAUGACGGCCUUCGGGUUGUAAACCUCUUUCAGCAGGGACGAAGCGUAAGUGACGGUACCUGCAGAAGAAGCGCCGGCCAACUACGUG